rnacentral:rRNA from 2 species
CCUACGGGGGGCUGCAGUGGGGAAUCUUGGACAAUGGGCGCAAGCCUGAUCCAGCCAUGCCGCGUGAGUGAAGAAGGCCUUAGGGUUGUAAAGCUCUUUUGGCAGGGACGAUAAUGACGGUACCUGCAGAAUAAGCCCCGGCAAACUUCGUGCCAGCAGCCGCGGUAAUACGAAGGGGGCUAGCGUUGUUCGGAUUUACUGGGCGUAAAGCGCACGUAGGCGGAUUGUUAAGUCAGGGGUGAAAUCCCGGAGCUCAACUCCGGAACUGCCUUUGAUACUGGCAAUCUUGAGGCUGGAAGAGGUUGGUAGAAUUCCCAGUGUAGAGGUGAAAUUCGUAGAUAUUGGGAAGAAUACCAGUGGCGAAGGCGGCCAACUGGUCCAGAUCUGACGCUGAGGUGCGAAAGCGUGGGGAGCAAACAGGAUUAGAUACCCUAGUAGUC